GUCCUUCACCUCCUGUCGUGAUUCUGAGGCCUUCCCAGCCAUGUGGAACCGGAAAGUAUGGAAGGCAACGCCUCAGAAUUAAAUUUUGGGAACCCCAGUAAAAUUUCAGAAUGCACACACCCGGCACAUGUUUGGCAGAGAAGGCUCAGGAGUUUCAGUGCGUUCAUUGCCCUCCACUACGGAGCUGCUCAGGCCAUCCUUGCAUCCACAGCAAAUGCGCUUCCCUCUGCUCUGCUCUCGGGUUCGGAACCCGGAGCGAGUUCCCAGGGAGCGGCGCCCUCGGAGCUGGUGGAAAAGCAUCGCGCAUGCCUUUCCCCGCGCGCGUCUGCAGAUCAGCGCAGCCGAGGAAUGCGGAUGCGAGGCUGGAGGCAGUAGAGCCAUCUCACAAUCACACAGCAACAAGCCAAGUGGAGCUGGUGUGUUGUUGACAGAUAACAUGGGGAAGCUGUUAUAUGAAUCCUGGACUGCUGAUCUGUGAACUUCUUGAUAUACUGGGAACGUAAACUCUUUUGGUUACGCAUUGGGUCAGAUUUCUGUUACAUGCAGCCAAAUGCAGUCUUAACUGAGAUACCCCUUUGCCUACAUUAGCUUUAGCUGUUCUCCCAACUUGCUGUUUAUGCUCCACCCACAGCACGUGAGAUCUCUUUUGCCCACAGCACCCUCUCUCAAUAUGCUGCCGUUCCCCAGCCAGUAAUUGCAGCUCUUUUUAUCACAAAACUGCUCUCAGGCUGCCAAAACUGUUGGCCCUAGAGCCAGAAGUGCUGUCUCCUACAAUUUUUUUUUUUUUUUUUAGACAAGAUCUUGCUCUGUCAUCCAAGCUGGAGGGCAGUGGCACAAACUCCUGGGCUCAAGGAAUCCUCCUGCUUCAGCCUUCCUAGUAGUUGGGAUGAUAGGUGAGUGCCACCACUCCCAGGUAAUUGUUUUUAUUUUUUGUAGAGAUGGGAGUGGACAGGGGGGGUCUCACUUUGUUGCCCAGGCUGGUCUCAAACUCCUGGACUCAAACCAUCCUACUGCCUUGAUCUCCCAAAGUGCUGGGAUUAUAGGCAUCAGCCAUCACACCCGCCCUGGGAUCUAUUCUUAACCCUUGCCCUAGUCAGGGUGAUCUUCCUCAGAGUUAAGAGUUAGACUCUGUGGGACUCUGAUAACACACCCUGGCUUGACCUUCCCUUCCCUCUCCUACCUCCCACCCUGCUGCUAGUUUCUUCCGGAGCUAUUUCCUGAUAGACUACACUAGUCUUCCCUUAUCUGAGGUUUAAUCUUCUGCAGUUUCAGUUACUGGCAGUCAACUUAGGUCUGAAAAUAUUAAAUAAAAAAUCCAGAAAUAAAAAA